GAAGACAUGACGUACAGACUGUAGAAAGCUCGUACUGGCGGUCCUCCGGUGUGCAACAAGAAAUGGCCAGGAGCAGCUGGAUCAAGUUACGCUUCUCAGCGGCAGUGGUUCUUUACCGGUGCGGCGAGUCAGGAAGCUCAGUCCAGGGAAAGCAUGGUUCAAGAAGCCGGAGACCGACACGAUGGCGCCAGCGUAUGGAUCGUCGGUGAGUGCAACGCAUGUCAUGUUUGUCUAUAGAGGACUCAAGACCUAUCACGCGAGUACAAGGCCUGUCACCUGAAAUAGCUACGUGCGUCGUUGUUAGCCGGUCCCGAGAUUUUAUUAUAAAAUGCAUAGAGGAACGACAAAUUGGCCUCAGUUUGCGGCCGUAAGGUGCUCAAUGUGCUUCUUGGUCAAGCCUGGGCCACUGACAGACCUAGUUUUCACAGAAUCUCGUUUUGUUG